rnacentral:rRNA from 1 species
CGGGAAGAGCUCAAAUUUAAAAUCUGGCAGCCUUGUGUUGUCCGAGUUGUAGUCUAGAGAAGCAUCAUCCGUGCUGGACCAUGUACAAGUCUCUUGGAACAGAGCGUCAUAGAGGGUGAGAAUCCCGUCUUG